UACGAAGGGGGCUAGCGUUGUUCGGAAUUACUGGGCGUAAAGGGCGCGUAGGCGGCCAUUCAAGUUAGGUGUGAAAGCCCUGGGCUCAACCUAGGAAUUGCACUUGAUACUGUUUGGCUUGAGUUCGGGAGAGGUGAGUGGAAUUCCCAGUGUAGAGGUGAAAUUCGUAGAUAUUGGGAAGAACACCGGUGGCGAAGGCGGCUCUCUGGACCGAUACUGACGCUGAGGCGCGAAAGCGUGGGGAGCAAACAGG
rnacentral:rRNA from 1 species